GGAAUAUUGCACAAUGGGCGAAAGCCUGAUGCAGCGACGCCGCGUGAGUGAUGAAGGCCUUCGGGUUGUAAAGCUCUGUUGUCAGGGAAUAAAAAAAUUGAAUGUACCUGACGAGAAAGGACCGGCUAACUUCGUGCCAGCAGCCGCGGUAAUACGAAGGGUCCAAGCGUUGUUCGGAAUCAUUGGGCGUAAAGCGAGUGCGGGUGGCUCUCUAAGUCAGGAGUGAAAGCCCAGAGCUUAACUCUGGAAG
rnacentral:rRNA from 1 species